CAAGAAAAUACUUGUUGCAAAUAUGUUCGUUUUUGUCUCUGCAAGUGUAAAUGGAGUCAAUGUCAAGUGUUCCAUGGCUAUAAGGAUAGGCAGUAUUCAAAGUCCUAAAAUAAAUGUUUUAUAGCAUUAACCUACAGAAAAAAGUUAACAAUAGAAUGGGCAGCAUUACCAACCAAUCACCAGACAAGGAAAAAAAUUCUUCGAAGCAACUACAAAGCUACAUGGCUGCCAAUAUGUACUGCUCCUAUUUGUGAUAACAAUGUAUGAAAGUGAUGAAGAUGGAAUUUUCUGUCCUACUUGUGUCUGUCAUAGACUGUGGGGUCCACCGUUACAAAACUCUACAUCAGCAACAAUCGUUUCUCACUGCUCAGAACCUGCAAAUGUCGUGAAUGAAAACAUUUUUAAUUAAAAAUAAUUGUAACACCAAGGCAUUAUUAAACGACUUGCCUAACUAAGGAAACCGCUGGAACCACGUUUGUCUCCACAAUCCUGAAAUGAUUGAAAUGAGAA